UGCGUAGGCGGUUUGGUAAGUCUGAUGUGAAAUCUAUGGGCUCAACUCAUAGUCUGCAUCGGAAACUGCCGGGCUUGAGUGUGGGAGAGGUGAGUGGAAUUUCCGGUGUAGCGGUGAAAUGCGUAGAUAUCGGAAGGAACACCUGUGGCGAAAGCGGCUCACUGGACCACAACUGACGCUGAUGCACGAAAGCUAGGGGAGCAAACAGGAUUAGAUACCCUGGUAGUCCUAGCCCUAAACGAUGACUGCUUGGUGUGACGGGUACCCAAUCCCGCCGUGCCGUAGCUAACGCGUUAAGCAGUCCGCCUGGGAAGUACGGUCGCAAGGCUGAA
rnacentral:rRNA from 1 species